GCCAGCUGCGUGAAUUAAUGUGAAUUGCAGGACACACUGAACAUCGACACCUUGAACGCACAUUGCGGCUCUGGCUCACUGCCAGAGCCACGCCUGUCCGAGGGUCGGCGAACACGUAAUCUAGCCCGCUGCUAUUCUGUAGCAAGCGAGCUAGAGUUGGCGAGUCGCGCGGGCUUUAGACCCGGUCGUCCGCCGUAGACUUCAGCCUCUCUCUGGGCAGCCUGCCGAGGUGGCACGGGGACAGGGCUCGAACGGGCCUUCUGUCUGGUGCCACGUGCCCCUUAGCCGGGGUGCGGCCCUCAGCACGGCUUCUCCUGGGCCUCUUGCGAGGAGAGAGAGCGGCGGUGAAACGCCGAAACGGGAGCUUGGCUCCCAUCACACAUCCGACCUCGGAUCAGACGGGACUACCCGCUGAAUUUAAGCAUAUCAG
rnacentral:rRNA from 1 species